GAUGAAGAACGUAGCGAAAUGCGAUAAGUAAUGUGAAUUGCAGAAUUCAGUGAAUCAUCGAAUCUUUGAACGCACAUUGCGCCCGCCAGUAUUCUGGCGGGCAUGCCUGUUCGAGCGUCAUUUCCACCAUCAGGCCCCCGGGCCUGUGUUGGGGACCUGCGGCUGCCCGCAGGCCCCGAAAUUCAGUGGCGGUCGCGCCGUAGCAACCGAGCGUAGUAACUAAAACGUCUCGCUCUGGCUCGCUGGGCGCGCUCCGGCCGUAAAACACCCCCCCUUUUCGCAAAGGUUGACCUCGGAUCAGGUAGGAAUACCCGCUGAACUUAAGCAUAUCAUAAGCGGAGGA
rnacentral:misc_RNA from 1 species